GACGAACGCUGGCGGCGUGCCUAAUACAUGCAAGUCGAGCGAUGAAGAUUGGUGCUCGCACCAAUUUGAAGAGCAGCGAACGGGUGAGUAACGCGUGGGGAAUCUGCCAUUGAGCGGGGGACAACAUCUGGAAACGAAUGCUAAUACUGCAUAACAACUUUAAACAUAAGAUUUAAGUUUGAAAGAUGCAAUUGCAUCACUCAAAGAUGAUCCGGGGUUGUAUUAGCUAGUUGGUGAGGAAAAGGCCCACCAAGGCGAGGAUACAUAGCCGACCUGAGAGGAUGACGAGCCCAACUGGAACGGGGAACCGGCCCAGAUCCUUCGGGGAGCAGGAAUUGGGGAACUUCGGCAAUAGGGGGAAGUCUGGCCGAGGAAAGCCGGGUGGGUGGAGGAAGUUUUCGGGGUGGUAAACUCUGUUGGUAGGGAAAGACAAUGGGGAGAGUGGAAAGCUCAUGAUGUGACGGUACCUACCCAGAAAGCGACGGCUAACUACGUG
rnacentral:rRNA from 1 species